CCGUUGGUCAAGGGGUUAAGACACCGCCUUUUCACGGCGGUAACACGGGUUCGAAUCCCGUACGGACCA
rnacentral:tRNA from 1 species